GACGAACGCUGGCGGCGUGCUUAACACAUGCAAGUCGAACGGAAAGGCCCUGCUUUUGUGGGGUGCUCGAGUGGCGAACGGGUGAGUAACACGUGAGUAACCUGCCCUUGACUUUGGGAUAACUUCAGGAAACUGGGGCUAAUACCGGAUAGGAGCUCCUGCUGCAUGGUGGGGGUUGGAAAGUUUCGGCGGUUGGGGAUGGACUCGCGGCUUAUCAGCUUGUUGGUGGGGUAGUGGCUUACCAAGGCUUUGACGGGUAGCCGGCCUGAGAGGGUGACCGGCCACAAUGGGACUGAGAUGCGGCCCAGACUCGUACGGGAGGCAGCAGUGGGGAAUAUUGCAAGAUGGGCGGAAGCCUGAUGCAGCAACGCCGCGUGCGGGAUGACGGCCUUCGGGUUGUAAGCCGCUUUCGCCUGUGACGAAGCGUGAGUGACGGUAAUGGGUAAAGAAGCACCGGCUAACUACGUG
rnacentral:rRNA from 1 species